AUGAUGUUUCAUUGCUGAAAUGCUAAGACACCCUGUCUCAAAAAAUUGGAAAAAAGGGACGUGGACAGGUGGCAUUAGCAACUAUGCACAUUGGCUGUUUUUCCAGAGGACACAGAAUUCUCAGACCCAGAUGGAAGUGCACAGCUGUCUGUAAGUCCUGUUCCAGGGUAUCCAACACACUGACAUGCAUGCAAAGAAAACACUUAUGCAUGUAAAACAAAAACAUAUUACUAAAAAAAGAAUGUGUCACAUUAUGGAACUUUCUCUAACAUAACCUGUACUCCUCUCGACUCAACUACGUCUUUUGUUUCUUCAUUCUCAUCAGGAGAACUGUGUUAACAAUUGCAAUAAGAAGCAAUGUGCAGAGUCCAUGAACAGAAAAUAGAAAUGGGAAAUUCAUCACCUCCAAGUGAUAGAGGACAGCUUGGCAGUUGGGGAUUUGACUCAGUUGUACUGCUGCUGUUGGGUACCCAAGAUUGGUUCCUAGCACCCACAUCAGACGACUCAGAACUACUUGCAAAGUCUUGUCCUGGAUGUCUGAUACACUCUUCUGUCUUCUGUGGGCACCAGGUCCCACUAUCUUUAGAGUGAUGAAAAGUGGCACUUGAACAGAAACAGGAAGUAAGCUGCAAGUUCAGAAAUUGGCAAACCUCGGGGAAGGCGGCAGAAACUUUUUCUAUUGAUGGCUCACUUAAUGUAUUAGGAAGAAUUCCUAGUCCAGAUAGCCCCCAACUGUCUGACCUUUUUGGGCUCCAUGUUCUGGGCCACAACCCUGGCAGAAGACUUCUGCUUUACUGGAGAUCAUGCCAGUACUAGGGCCUCAGAUAAGAUACCUCCCAUGCCCACUAACACUCCUGAAAGACUACCCAAUGGCCCCCAAGUGCACUUGAGCUUGAUAUCCUAGCCUACAGUUUUGGCAGAAGACUUCUGCUUUACCAGUGGUUAUGCAUUACUAGGAACCCCAGAGGCCAUAUAGGUACUUGCAACCACAGAGGGGAUAUUGGCACCCAAAACAGCAGAGAUCAUGCAGGAUGCAAAACCUCAAUGGAGACACCCUACUGGACUGAAGACUUGCUGGUUACCAGAAUUCCAAGCCACUCAAGCCAGGAGACCAGAGAGGAAACAAUCCAAGGGAAAAUCAUCCAAAAAAAAAAUACCCAUCUAACAAAAUCAGAAGUCAAAACCUAGUAUAGUAACUACAAACCCAGAUGACUAGAGGCAGUUUAAGUUUAAAAUGAAAAACAGUCAGAGUAAUAUGGCACCACCAAAGUCCAGCUAUCCUACUACAGCAAGCCCUGGAUAUUCCAACAUAGAUGAAGCACAAGAAAAUGACCUUAAAUCCAAUCUUAUGAAAAUGAUAGAGUCCC